UGUAGAACCUAUGGCGUUCUCGUGUAUUUCCUGUUCGAGUCUAGGUGACACUGGGACUUGAAUAAGUGUAUAAAGAACUUUUGUUGAAACCCUCAUCUAGUGAGGUUAUGGAAGAAAUGGCGGUUAAACUCCAUUUGCUGGAGUUAGGAGGUUAUGGGUGGCACUUGAAGUAUUAAAGGAGUCCUUGGAUGUGAUGUUUCUGUUGCAGUCGCAGAUCUCGAAGGGGGUUGCUGUUUUGGUAACGAUAAGUUAGUCGUCUAGUCCAGCCGUCAAUUUCUGUGCCGAGUGCUGCAGGACAGGUUGACUUUGAUUUUCUCGGUCAAUGUUUUCAUCAAGUUCAUUGGAACACACUUUGGAUGACAUAUUUUCAAUGUUAUCUAAAUCUUGAUCUACACUCGGAUCUACAAUAUCACUUAUAUCUUCAUCACUUGGUACAUAGUUUGGAUCAGCAACACUAUCGAUCUGUACACCACUAAUAUUUUCUGACAUAGCUGCCACCCCAUCAUA